GACGAACGCUGGCGGCGUGCCUAAUACAUGCAAGUAGAACGCUGAAGAGAGGAGCUUGCUCUUCUUGGAUGAGUUGCGAACGGGUGAGUAACGCGUAGGUAACCUGCCUUGUAGCGGGGGAUAACUAUUGGAAACGAUAGCUAAUACCGCAUAACAAUGGAUGACACAUGUCAUUUAUUUGAAAGGGGCAAUUGCUCCACUACAAGAUGGACCUGCGUUGUAUUAGCUAGUAGGUGAGGUAACGGCUCACCUAGGCGACGAUACAUAGCCGACCUGAGAGGGUGAUCGGCCACACUGGGACUGAGACACGGCCCAGACUCCUACGGGAGGCAGCAGUAGGGAAUCUUCGGCAAUGGGGGCAACCCUGACCGAGCAACGCCGCGUGAGUGAAGAAGGUUUUCGGAUCGUAAAGCUCUGUUGUAAGUCAAGAACGAGUGUGAGAGUGGAAAGUUUACACUGUGACGGCAGCUUACCAGAAAGGGACGGCUAACUACGUG
rnacentral:rRNA from 1 species